GGAGGGAGGAGGACGGAGACAGAAAGAGCAAGCCAAUUUAAAAAAAAAAAAAAAAAAAAAGCAAAAUUGCCCACCUUUCUUAAAUUCUUCCAGCAUAGCGUCCAACUUGGUGUCGUUGAAAACGAAGUGCAAAGGGUGAUUGUAAAACUUGGUGAUGGUUUUCAAGGGAGUACAGUCAUCCGGAUCCACGAAGGCCAAGUCUUUGACAAAGAGCAGGUCCACGAUGUUGGAACGUUCUCCCUCGAACACCGGGAUUCGAGUGUAGCCACUCUCCAUGAUCUCCGACAUGGUGUUGAAGUCCAGGAUAGCCUCGCCGGUUAUCAUGAAGCAGUCCCUGAGGGGAGUCAUCACGUCCUCCACCGUCUUGGUGCGGAGCUCCAGCGCCCCUUGGAUGAUGUUCAGCUCUUCCUUAACGAGGUCGUUAUAGGGGUCAGUAACCCGGAGCAUCUCCAGCAGUUUUUCCCGGUUAUAGACCGUGCCUAUCUCCUGGCCCAGGACGCAGUCCAGCAGUUUGCUAACCGGAUAAGAAGCGGGGAAUGUCAUCAUCAUGAAAAACUUGGUGAGGAAGAUGGUGUUGGCCCCUACCGCCAGGCCGUGUCGGGAGCAGAUGGCUUGGGGCACGAUUUCUCCGAAGAUGACGAUGCCAAUGGUGGAGACCACCACCGCCACAAGGCCUGAGCCCGCAAUGUCGUCCAGCAGGAUGGUGAGCGUGGUGUUGACCAGUACGUUGCCCAGCAGCAGCGAGCACAGCAGGUAGUUGCCCUGCCUGCGCACCGGCUCGAUGCGCUUGGCAUAAUUCUUCUCUUUCUCCGUGCCGCAGUUUUGCACGAUGCGCAGCUCCAUCGGGUCCAGAGCCAUGAGCCCCAGGUUGAGGCCGCUGAACAUGCCCGACAGGCACAGCAGCAGCGAGAUGAAGAUCACUUGCAGCCAGAAGGGCAGCAAGAACUUCUUCUCCUCGCCCACUAUCAUCUUGGUGUCCUCACCGUCGUGGUAAAUCCAGGUGGUCUCGGCCCACGGAGGAGGCGGGAGUCCGGCCACCCCCGCGCCACCCUUGCCCCCGACGGUGCCACUCGCAGACCCGGAGCCGCCGGCGCCUAGUGCGGGCGUGGAGAGAGACGUGCACAGGUAAUAAGACUUGCUCUUCUCCAUCUUGCGCAGCGGUUUAAUCUCGAUCUCGAUGAUGCCCGAUGUGCGGCGAUUGAGAAUGAUGUGGGGCAAGAUGAUGAUGUCUGAGGUGCGGAUGCCGCAGCGCUGGGGGCCGCUGUCCGGCUCCGGAGGCGCGGGGCCCCCCAGCCCACGCUCGCUGGGUGUGUGCCGGCGCCGCUCGUGCUCAGUGAAGGCGAUGCGGGACCACGUCUCGUUGUUGAUGUUCUGCCCGUACACCCGCAGCUUGACCCGGGUCCGCUCGCUCACCCGCAGAGCACCCCCUUCCAUGAACGACACGUCGUUCGUAUCCUCCAGCCGCAGCCCGAUGAUCACGGUCUCCUCGUUCUCGCCGGCCGCUGUGCAGCCGCCCGCUCCCCAGCAGCAGCUCAGCAGUAGCAGCGGCAGCAGCCGGCCCGCAGCUGCUUGCAGGACCCCCCGGCCGCGGGCACUGAGGCUGCGGCGCGCCGCCAUCUUCCAAGUGGGCAGUGCGGCGGCUGCCUGCCCGCCCGCCAUCUUUACUUCGGGUUCACAAGCGCCACAGCCAAUCAUAGGGUGGCUGCUCCAGCUGAGGCUUCAUCCUUCCCACCCGGCGGCGCGAGCGCAGGCACCGGCGCCCGAGCAGGACUGCAACCGCGCGUUCGCGCCCAGCCCUUAGCUGUCCUUCUCUCUGAAUGACACUGAUUCGGACUGAGCCAGCUGAGGAACCCCCGGGCUCGAGGGAGGAGGGAGCGGAGGGAGGGGCGUGCUAGCCUCUCCCGCGAGAGGCAGGUCUGCCAGCCAAUCAAGAGCGGGUGCCCGCCUUCCCAGCCAGGGGGCUGGAAUGGGGGCGUGGUCGCAGUCGGCGUGCCGCACCAAUGGCACGGGAGGUGGGCGGGGAGAUGAGGGCCACUGUCCUCCUCUGCAUGCCAAGUUUCCAACUGAAAGGCGCGUGACUCUUGUGUAUGCGCGGGGAGGAGGCGUGGCCAUCCCGGAUGCAAGAGCCAGUCAAAGAUGAGCGCUGUAGGGAUGGGGGCGUGGUCUUCCUCCAGGCGGCCAAUGAAAGGGAGCGGUCCGCGGGUGCGGCGCUCCCUGUGGGGUCUCUGUAGUAGAUCCUCGCGCGCGGCUUGGCAGCCCUGCAAUACUGCCCUGAGGCGCGAGGCCUCGGGUCCUUGCUGCAGGGACUUGCGGGCUCCACGGGGCUCCGUGUCGCCGCAGAAUGGGCUGAGCCCUCCUUCCCUGGGAGCACCAGAGCCGGACUGGAGACAGCUUACGAUGCACAUAGCCUAAAACCAAAUCGGGAUACUAGUCAAGCCCCCCAGCCCACUACCCCUGCAUGCGGUUCCUCUGGAGAUUCGCGGUGACAGGGUGGCCCUAGCAACGCCGAGGACCUGCGGUCUCCGUGACUCUGUGAGCCCUCAGCUGCUCACGAUCAUGUGGCGCCACCUGCCGGCCCUCACGGACGACCUUUGCUGUUUUCUAGCUCUCAACAAACCUCUCAAAGUGUGGUCAGCUUCCCAAACUUUGUCAUCACAGGGAUUCUCCUGUAGUCCUGCUAUAAUCACAGAAUGAGAUGGACCCUAUUUUUGGUUUUGUUUUGUUUUGUUUUGUUUUGUUUUUUAACGUGCACCCAGGCAAUUUGGGGAAAUAGGAAGGGGAGAGCAACCUGAGAAGGCCCAUGAAAGCUUAUUAUGAAAUGCACAGGUCAAACGCUGUUAGCUCCGGAGAAGAUUCAUUGUGGAGCACAGCUCACCAGGACUCUCAAGUCCAUUGCAUCAGACUAGAUGCGGUAGCACAGUAGCUCCCAAACUGAACUUUCUGCCUCCCAACUGAAGCGCGUUUUAAAAUGUUUUUCCUGAUCUUACUUUGUAUUCCAUAAACACAAUACUCUUCCUUUUUUGUGA
rnacentral:lncRNA from 1 species